AACGAACGCUGGCGGCGCGCCUAAUACAUGCAAGUCGAGCGAGAAGGUGUAGCAAUACACUUGUAAAGCGGCGAACGGGUGAGGAAUACAUGGGUAACCUACCCUCGAGUGGGGAAUAACUAGCCGAAAGGUUAGCUAAUACCGCGUACGCUUCCGGGACUGCGGUUCCGGAAGGAAAGCGAUACUGUGAGUAUCGCGCUCUUGGAUGGGCUCAUGUCCUAUCAGCUUGUUGGGAGGUAACGGCUCACCAAGGCUUCGACGGGUAGCUGGUCUGAGAGGACGAUCAGCCACACUGGCACUGCGACACGGGCCAGACUCCUACGGGAGGCAGCAGUAAGGAAUAUUGCGCAAUGGACGACAGUCUGACGCAGCGACGCCGCGUGGGGGACGAAGGUCUUCGGAUUGUAAACCCCUUUCGGGAGGG
rnacentral:rRNA from 1 species